rnacentral:rRNA from 1 species
ACCGGCGCACGGGUGAGUAACACGUAUCCAACCUGCCGAUAACUCGGGGAUAGCCUUUCGAAAGAAAGAUUAAUACCCGAUGGUAUAAUUAGACCGCAUGGUCUUGUUAUUAAAGAAUUUCGGUUAUCGAUGGGGAUGCGUUCCAUUAGGCAGUUGGUGAGGUAACGGCUCACCAAACCUUCGAUGGAUAGGGGUUCUGAGAGGAAGGUCCCCCACAUUGGAACUGAGACACGGUCCAAACUCC